GGUGCCAUUUCAACCAGCAUGACCCUGAUCCAAUUCAAUGACUUAGUGAAGUCAGUGGGAGGAUUGUGGUUUACUGGUUGAUCUCUUCUCAUCUCUUCUCUUGACUCAUAAAUUAAAUCUUCUAAAUUAUUAGAUUUCUAAAAUGAGCUAGUUAUGGGGAUAACUAGAUCAUGGUCUUCCAUAAGAUGAAAGAUAAUGGAUCCAUUAUUUCUGAUUGAUA
rnacentral:lncRNA from 1 species